rnacentral:rRNA from 1 species
GUCUACGGCCAUACCACCCUGAACACGCCCGAUCUUGUCUGAUCUCGGAAGCUAAGCAGGGUCGGCCUGGUUAUUACUUGGAUGGGAGACUACAAGAGAGAGUUGUGUUAGUAUCUA